GAAGGUUUCUCAGCUGGUAUUGCCUCGUGGUGAGAAAGAUUUCUUCCAUUUGUGUUGCAGCUUUACUGGGAGUAGGCGCACAUGAAAAGAGCACCGCGUAUAAUGCAGAACAUGAAAGGUGCCCCACUACACUUGUCAAUUACUUUUAAAAAUGGAUUCUCUUCAAAAUUAUCCCUGGAAGGAUGUGGAUUUUGAAUUUCCAACCUGAAAAGAAACAGUUUAUCAUGUAUUUUUUUAUUUUUUCUCUUGGUUGCUUUAUAACCCCAAAAGAUGCCUCAAUUAUCUGAACAGCAAGAUUAAACUGGAUGCGUAAUGUAGAUCUGACGUUGCCAUAUGUAUAAAUAUCACCUUCCUACAUCUUAAUGUGAUAUUUUAACUUUCAAGAGAAUCCACAGAUUUUGUAUCAUCUCUUAAAAGAAGAAAUGUACUGCUCUGUAGUCAUGUUGAACAUGUAUAAUAUGCUGCACCUCUCUGCGAGUCCCUUUAAUUUGCUCCCCAUUCACAGCAGAAUUAAAUUAAAAAUUCUCACCCUUACAUACAAAGCUCUCUCAAACACUGCUCCCCACUAUACCUAUCCUCCAGCCCGCCCACUAAGAUCCAACAAUGACCUGCUACUUGCAUCUUCAACUAUCACCUCUUCCCAUGCUAGACUGCAGGACUUCUGUUGUGCGGCACCUUUUUUAUAUAGUUUUUUUAUAUAGUUUUAUUUACGUGAAUUGUACCCAUGGGCAGCGCUGCAGAAUAUGUUGGUGCUUCAGAAAUAAAGUAUAAUAGAAGUUUACCACCGUAAUAAAAAUCUUCAGUUUGGAGGGUUUUUUUUUCUUAUCGUGAAGUAUUUUGCAAUUAAAAAAUAAAACUUGAACAUUUUAAA